CGGGUCGGGGUUACAUGGCGGCGACUGCGGCAAAACGAGAGCCUCGGAGACGCCGCUGCCGCCAGCACAGCCGGAGACCUGAGCCGACCCUGGGGGCUGUCCGCGGGCCUCGCACUCUCUCGAUGAGUCGGAGGAGUCCCGCUGUAUCAGAGUAAGAUGGACGGUAGCUUUGAUUGUGAUUGUGGUGAGCUGGAGCCACCUGAUCACUAACAAAAGAUACCUGUCAGCCAACAUCACCAGGGCUUCCUGUUGAAAUUCAGCAACAAAGGAAGAGAGGAAGCAAAGGGAACUCGUGCUUCCCAGCGCCUUAGGAUGCUGCUCAGGACCAGUCCAAC
rnacentral:lncRNA from 1 species